rnacentral:rRNA from 1 species
GACGAACGCUGGCGGCGCGCCUAACACAUGCAAGUCGAACGAGAGAUGAGGAGCUUGCUCUUCAGAUCGAGUGGCGAACGGGUGAGUAACGCGUGAGGAACCUGCCUCAAAGAGGGGACAACAGUUGGAACGACUGCUAAUACCGCAUAAGCCCACGGCUCGGCAUCGAGCAGGGGGAAAAGGAGCAAUCCGCUUUGAGAUGGCCUCGCGUCCGAUUAGCUAGUUGGUGAGGUAACAGCCCACCAAGGCGACGAUCGGUAGCCGGACUGAGAGGUUGAACGGCCACAUUGGGGACUGAGACACGGCCCAGACUCCUACGGGAGGCAGCAGUGGGGAAUAUUGCACAAUGGGGGAAACCCUGAUGCAGCGACGCCGCGUGGAGGAAGAAGGUCUUCGGAUUAUAAACUAUUGUCGUUAGGGAAGAGAAAGGACAGUACCUAAGGAGGAAGCUCCGGCUAACUACGUG